rnacentral:miRNA from 1 species
AAGGACAUUAUUUAUUGAUAAU